rnacentral:snRNA from 1 species
AACAGCUCGGGCUUUACGCUUACCAGUGAAGAUUCGUCUGAGGUAGCGUUUUUGCUAGUUGAAAACUACAACUAUGACCGCUCCAGUUGGUCUUCGGAUCGGCUGGGAAUUUUUGUAUCCCAUCCACUGCUGUCAGUUGCUUUUCAUUGAUUCCUGUGG